rnacentral:rRNA from 1 species
CCCCUAGACGUUCUGGGCCGCACGCGCGCUACACUGACCAGUGCAACAAGCAUCCGUCCUUGGCCGACAGGCUCGGGCAAUCUUUGAACGCUGGUCGUGAUGGGGAUAGACUUUUGCAAUUUUUGGUCUUCAACGAGGAAUUCCUAGUAAACGCAAGUCAUCAACUUGCAUUGAUUACGUCCCUGCCCUUUGUACACACCGCCCGUCGCACCUACCGAUUGAAUGGUCCGGUGAAGCCUCCGGAUUGGCGCGCACCUCGGUGCCGCCGAGAAGUUGGCUAAACCUUNCNAUUUAUNGGAAGGUGAANUCGUANCA